UGGGAAUGCUUAGAACCAUCUCAUGAGAGUGAAAUAUCAAGUAUUAUAUAAAAUCAUGGUGGUGUUAGAAGAAAAGAUUACCGUGCAGUUCUGUGACAUGCUUUGAGAAAUACUUCUCCACACUGCAUGAUUGUUGAGAAACAGGAUAUCGCGUGGAGGUGGCUGUUGAAGUUCAGGAUGAGGUGCAUUUCUGAGCCCCUAAAGACCUUCGUAGCCUCGGGGCUGGUACAUUAGAAUGUGGUACGUAAAUUAAUAAUCGAUUCAUGUAUAAAAGCUGCCCUGUCGUUGCGGAAUUCCAUCUGCGCCGUGUACACAAGAAGGGUGAAAUGUUGAUUUAUAUUAUUGGAUGUAGGGAUUCACCAAUACCUUAGUUGGGGGUUCCAUUUUUUUUAACGUAGCCCAUUUAAACACUUGGCUGAUUAUUCUUCAUAGUUCAUGUUAUUUGUAACAUGACAAACAUUCGAG
rnacentral:misc_RNA from 1 species